UCUAUUACCCAAAUCAACUUCAUAAGAGAUGGAGAGAAAGAGAUUCAGAGAAAGUUUAAGCUCACCAUCGUAACCGCCGUCUCCAUCGCUACCGGCCUCGCCACCGCAGUUCAGAUCGAGCAAAGGUGCCUCCCCACCAACGCAACUCCAGAUCUGGUAGCAAUGCCUUCUUCGCGAACAACGCUAUCGCUAUUUUCGGCUCUUCUCUUUUCUACUCUUUCCAUUGCCGAUCUCUCACCUUCACACCGCACCUCCGCCACUUGCACCGCCCCUGGUCUUCCACGUAGAUGCACAAGAUCGUCGCCGCCGCUUGCUUUCCAUGGCCGCCAUGUGAAGUAGGCUCCGACGACACAACACCAGUAGCAGCAUGCACGUCUUCCUCCUCCGGCGGCAGCGGCAACGACAUUGGUUUCACGACUCGCCCUUCUUCGAUUAAUAAAGUGGCCAGACGAUUGAUUUUCGAAAAGGGGCAUGAGAAACUGGAUCUUCAAACAGAUGAGAGAAGAAAGAAGAUUAGGAAAUUUAAGGAAUCAGCAUGGAAAUGUGUAUAUUUUCUAUCAGCAGAAAUUUUUUUAAAGAAUUUAUUCCAUAUAAAGCUUGUUUUUGGAAUAAAUUCUGCAUAUAAAGCUUUCUUUGUGACUCAAACAUUACGUGCCUUGGCAAGGGAUGGAAGAACCAUGAUAGCUUCUAUUCAUCAACCUAGCAGUGAAGUUUUCAAACUAUUUGAUCAAUUGUACUUGCUUUCAGGGGGUAAAACUGUCUAUUUUGGCCACGCUUCUGCAGCAUAUGAGUUCUUUGCACAAGCUGAAUUUCCAUGCCCUGCUUUGAGGAACCCAUCAGAUCACUUCCUUAGGUGCAUCAAUUCUGACUUUGACAAAGUCAAGGCCACUCUUAAAGGCUCCAUGAAACUCAGGUUUGAGGCAAGUGAUGAUCCCCUUGAUAAGAUAACUACUCAAUGAGUACUACCGAACUUCUCAGCAUUCUUAUGCUGCAAAACAGAAAGUGGACGACAUAUCUAAAGUUGGGACCGUGCUCGAUGCCCAGUAUUAAAUGGUUCAGGCCAAGGAUGGAAUCGAACCUUCACGAGCAGAGAUUUUUCUCAAAAUUCAUAAAAGGCGUAAGGAUGGUAGACCAUUGGAUGAGGAGUCUGCAAAAGUAGUGGUUGAUACGACUGCAUUUCUAUAUAUUAUACCAACUGCUCCCCCAUUGGCAUCACUGCAACUACUCUGGGACUCAUAAUUGGUGGCCUUGCUGCAGCAUUGGCCUAGAAGAAUUGAGCAUAUUUUAUCUUUUUUUUUUUAUUUUUUACAAAAUGUGUUCAAAGUCAAUGAAAUGACAAACAAACCUCUAUUAUGUAUUGACAAAUACAGCUUUUAACAUUCUAGUUUGUUAAAAGGAGCAUUUUAAUAGAAAGCUUAUUUCAAAUUUU